AGACUGGGAUAACUUCGGGAAACCGGAGCUAAUACCGGAUAAUCCUUUCCCUCACAUGAGGGAAAGCUGAAAGACGGUUUCGGCUGUCACUUACAGAUGGGCCCGCGGCGCAUUAGCUAGUUGGUGAGGUAACGGCUCACCAAGGCAACGAUGCGUAGCCGACCUGAGAGGGUGAUCGGCCACACUGGGACUGAGACACGGCCCAGACUCCUACGGGAGGCAGCAGUAGGGAAUCUUCCGCAAUGGACGAAAGUCUGACGGAGCAACGCCGCGUGAACGAUGAAGGCUUUCGGGUCGUAAAGUUCUGUUGUUAGGGAAGAACAAGUACCGGAGUAACUGCCGGUACCUUGACGGUACCUAACCAGAAAGCCACGGCUAACUACGUGCCAGCAGCCGCGGUAAUACGUAGGUGGCAAGCGUUGUCCGGAAUUAUUGGGCGUAAAGCGCGCGCAGGCGGUUCCUUAAGUCUGAUGUGAAAGCCCCCGGCUCAACCGGGGAGGGUCAUUGGAAACUGGGGAACUUGAGUGCAGAAGAGGAGAGCGGAAUUCCACGUGUAGCGGUGAAAUGCGUAGAGAUGUGGAGGAACACCAGUGGCGAAGGCGGCUCUCUGGUCUGUAACUGACGCUGAGGCGCGAAAGCGUGGGGAGCGAACAGGACUAGAUACACUGGUAGUCCACGCCGUAAACGAUGAGUGCUAAGUGUUAGAGGGUUUCCGCCCUUUAGUGCUGCAGCAAACGCAUUAAGCACUCCGCCUGGGGAGUACGGCCGCAAGGCUGAAACUCAAAGGAAUUGACGGGGGCCCGCACAAGCGGUGGAGCAUGU
rnacentral:rRNA from 1 species